rnacentral:rRNA from 1 species
AUUGAACGCUGGCGGCAGGCCUAACACAUGCAAGUCGAGCGGAUGAGAGGAGCUUGCUCCUCGAUUCAGCGGCGGACGAGUGAGUAAUGCCUAGGAAUCUGCCUAGUAGUGGGGGACAACGUUUCGAAAGGAACGCUAAUACCGCAUACGUCCUACGGGAGAAAGUGGGGGAUCUUCGGACCUCACGCUAUUAGAUGAGCCUAGGUCGGAUUAGCUAGUUGGUAGGGUAACGGCCUACCAAGGCGACGAUCCGUAACUGGUCUGAGAGGAUGAUCCGUCACCCUGGAACUGAGACCCGGUCCCGACUCCGACGGGAGGCAGCAGUGGGGAAUAUUGGGCAAUGGGCGAAAGCCUGAUCCAGCCAUGCCGCGUGUGUGAAGAAGGCCCUCGGGUCGUAAAGCACUUUAAGUUGGGAGGAAGUGCUUACAGCGAAUACCUGUGAGUUUUGACGUUACCGACAGAAUAAGCACCGGCUAACUUCGUGCCAGCAGCCGCCGUAA